UUUUGUUAUGCAUACACGUGU
rnacentral:miRNA from 1 species